CCCCGAUGAUGAGGUUCAAACACAAUUACAGCGAAAUUGCAAUUUGUUGGGGCUUGCUGUUCUUGAUGGCUACUCUUGGCGGGCCUCCGCUUCCUCUUUUCCGUGGGCUGGUGCCAAAUGCUAUUUGUAGUGGUUCGUUCGCCGGGACAGACAAAGUGCAUGCGGAAAUAAAAUGUGCAGAAAUGUGCACCCAAACACGCCGAGCACAUACGGCUGAGUAAACGAAUAACAAUGGCAGCGAAAAUAUCAACAAACCAUCACAGCUGGCUGCUUGCGAGCAGGAAAUGUAAAUUACUGAGGACGGAAUAUGUUCCCGAAUUAUUUAUGCAUAAAAAUGAUAUAUUUCGACGUGUUUGCUUUCCAUUUUCCGACGACCAGCGCCCUGCCAAUUAAAUAUGGAAAACAAAAUGCCAACAAAUACCAGCGUCACUUCCUCAUUUAACCUGCGGAAUUUUCAAUUACACAUCUCAAAACAAUAGUCAGCGAACAAAAUGCGAAAAUGAAAAGUGAAAAACUUUUUCACGGCGCAGGCGCCAAGAGAACUUCCCUGUGAGAACGCAAGCAGAAUGAGAGGAAAAUCUGCUUUGGUGUUGGUAAAUGGAAAAUUUCAGGCGAAGCUAAGAUGAGCAGGCAAUGGGAAAAUCGAAAUUUUCAUUCAUACUAUAAGGUGAAUGGCACAGUGUCAGAAAAUUUAUAAC
ensembl:ncRNA lncRNA:CR44900 long non-coding RNA:CR44900